GACGAACUGCCCAAACGUUGUUCGGAAUCACUGGGCUUAAAGGGCGCGUAGGCGGCAGAUCAAGUCAGGGGUGAAAUCCGGCAGCUCAACUGUCGAAGUGCCUUUGAUACUGAUUUGCUCGAGGGAUAUAGGGGUCUGUGGAACUUCUGGUGGAGCGGUGAAAUGCGUUGAUAUCAGGAGGAACACCCGUGGCGAAGGCGGCCUUCUGGGUCGACCCUGACGCUGAGGCGCGAAAGCGUGGGGAGCGAACGGG
rnacentral:rRNA from 1 species